UACGGGGGAGCAAGCGUUGUUCGGAUUUACUGGGCGUAAAGGGCGCGUAGGCGGCCAGCACAAGUCAGUUGUGAAAUCUCCGAGCUUAACUCGGAAAGGUCAACUGAUACUGUGCGGCUAGAGUGGCGGAAGGGGCAACUGGAAUUCUUGGUGUAGCGGUGAAAUGCGUAGAUAUCAAGAGGAACACCUGCGGCGAAGGCGGGUUGCUGGGCCGGACACUGACGCUGAUGCGCGAAAGCUAGGGGAGCGAACGGG
rnacentral:rRNA from 1 species